CUUAAGAUCCGAACUUGGUGUUAGGUUACAUUGUUGAAUUGAAGUUCCUGUGUUCUGGUUUGGAUCUUCUCGUCCUUGGGCAGUGACCAUGUUGUUCUGUUUAUCCAUGGGCUUUCGGGCCACCAAGUCGCACUUUUGGAAAACAACAGCUGCAUUUCCAAAUAUAAAGUCAACAGUGCCAGUAAUAAAAGAGUCUCGGUAGAACUGCCUGUUGGAGUGAGCGUAGAGAGUGUCUUGGAAGGCAUCAAUGCGACAGCGGUUUAUGACGGAUUGGUCAGCGCCUACACGAAGAGCCACUGCUUGGUGCUUCUGUGGGCCUGCUGUGUUUUGAAACCAUAUGUCUUGAGCUAUAAAUCCAUCACCCACAGCAGCUGCAAAACCAUAUUAUUUAGUGCUUGAUUAGUGUUGAAAAUUUCUAAAUCUAUUACUAGUUUUACAAGUCACAGCCAAUGGGCCCUUUUAAGCCUUGCUAUCUUGUUAGACCCUCUAGAUAUAAAGAAUGAACUGUACACAUAUUUUUCUUUUCUUUUUGUCAAUAGUUGAAUGUGCCCAGUUUUUCCUUCCUGUAUGAAUGGACUACUAAUAUAUGCAAUUCAAAAAUAAAAUAGCUGUACUCAAUCUGGCAUCAUUCAAGCAAUUAAAGAUAAGAACAAAGAUGUAAUAAUUUAUACAUCUAUUUUUCUUUUUAUCUAUUUUGAUCACUUCCAUUAUUGGUAGAGUUUAAUUUUUAUACACGGUUAACCAAUAAAAAAAUGUAAAUAUGAUUUAAAAUGAUGUACAGUCGAAUAUAGCUAGUUAGGUAAAAACAUUCCAGUCGAUAGAAGAAUGGAAAAUACAGGCAAAGAAUUGGGGGAAGAUCCAUACCAACAGUGGCAGUCUUAAACGUGGUUGUUCCGUCGAUGAAAUUCAAGUUGCCGGUGAUUACAGUUGCAUCCUUACCAUCUCCUACAAGCAUCACGUUGGUCUUCUUCUUGCCGAUUUCAACAUUUUCUUUAUAAGUUCCCUUUUUCACGUAAAUAACAUACCUUGUCUUACCGUUGUCAGGUGCGGAUGCUACAGCCUCAGCCACAGUCUUAAACUUGCCACUUCCAUCCUUAGCUACCACAACAUUGGCCUUGAUGUCGCCAACAGUAGACUCCAAAAGUCUCCGAUCCUUGCUGCUCACCCAUGAGGGAAAGUCUCCACUUAAAGGUUCAUCAAUAAUUUGUUCAACCUUUGGGGGCAAAACAGCAACAAACAUGGCCAGAGAAGUUCUUGCUCUGGAUAUCAAGUCCUCGAGUUCGUCCUUCAUAAAGGCGCGAGCUGACCCCUCUAACCCAUCCAAACAAGUUGCAUGGUUAGUAAGCACGCUACUUAGCCAUGUGUGUGCAUCUUGUUGGGACUCAAUGGUUUGUUUUGUUAGGGUCACCAUUGAGUCCCUAACUCUGCUGAUAGAUAAGUCCAUCAACUCCACACAAUCGUGCAAAGCUUCUUCUUCUUUGGGACUGUUGAUCCUAAGUUUGAUAGAACUGGCUGUGUUCAUAACUCUCUUAAUGUGUGAGGUGUAUUUCAUUAGGAAUGACUGUAACAAAUUGAAUUUGUGGUCUUUUGUGGGGGUCAAGAUCGGACCUUGUACCACUUCUGAGACAUGGGUUAAACAUGUUGCCCUAUCAAGUGCAUGAUCACAGAGAUGUUGAGGAGAGGAUUGGUUGAAGAAGGAGGUGGAUUUGAUGAGAUAAGAACCAACAAAGGCUGAUGAGAUCAUGACAGCAGCUAUAGAAAAGAUUAAGCAGAUAGUUUUGGAAACAGAUUUUCUAGGCCUGUCUAACAGAGAUUGUUGGAUAGCCAUACUGGUAAGUGUUACUGGCUGUUCUUGGUGACCUUUGCUUGUGUCGUUGUCCUUAUAUAGGCAAUUAGGCGUUCAAAGGAGCAUGAGAUAUAUUUUAAAAUGGUUAUGUUUUUAGUUUUCCGUAAUUGACCGAAAUACAAUGUCUCUUUCUACUUACCGCUGGAUUCCACAAGACAUUCUUUAUUAACAAAUACUACUCCAUUUAAUGGCUUCCAUUAAUUAAAUGAUACUAGCAACCUUUUAUGUAUUACAUAUAUAUUUUUAAAUUUAGGUCAAAUUUAAAAUAAAUAUAUAUGAGAUAAAAUGUUAAAAAAAUUUAUAUAUUUUAAGAAAAGAAGUACGGCAAAAAAGUCUACAUUCUAAACAAGAAAGAUUUUAAUUUGCUAGAUGAAAAUAAAUAAAUUAAUAAUACAAUGAAUUAUUUGAAUAAAGACUUGUAUAUUAUUUUUAUGUUUACUGUAAAAGUACUCGUUUUUAAAAUAAAUAAGAUAAAAGAGGAAGAAAGAGAAUGGAGGUUAAAUAAAAGUAAUUGGUAAGAAAGAUUGAAGCUGAAUGUGAUGGGAUAUAUAGCUAGCAAAAUUGAGAGGUAAAUACAUCAAAACCAAUGUGGAGACUAAAUCAAUAUUAACUUUAUUUACAGUUGUAGAUUAUUUUAUUUUAAUUUAUUUACAUAGUAUUUUUUAUAUAAACAAUAUUAUUUAUAAUACCGACAUUACUUUUCUUAAAUAUAUUGCAAAUUUUGAUUUGUCACUUUGUUGAAAAUUAGAUACUUUUACUGGUCUCAUUUUUUUAUUGAUUUGUUUUUAUUAAUUUAAUAUGAUGUAUUGAAUUUUAAAAUUAUUUUUAAUUUGAGAUUUUUUAAAAUUUGAACAAUAUUAUUUAAAAACUACUUGAUGCAAUAGAAGUAUCAGGAUUAUAAAAAUAAAUAAAUAAAACUCAAGAAACCAUCAUAAUUUCCAAGAUAAAAUGCAUGUGCAGUUAUACUUUCCAAACAAUGGCACGUGCAGUUACACUUUCCGCCUUACAACAAUCACUGUUUUUUUUUUCUUCUAAAGAAGAGUAUGGCAAGUGGAGUCACGUGCAUAUAUUUGCAUGAUCGAGCAUAAUUAGAACAAAUGCUUUUAUUUAUAUAAUAUAAUAAAAAGAAAGUAGAAGACAUUAUUGCACUGGCGGCUAUAUUUAAUUGCACCUUAAUUUAUCGACAUGUUCAUUGUACCUCCACCUUCGCCAUUUCUUUAUAUAAUAGUACUAUAAAAAAAAUAAAAACUAAUAAAAGACUAUAGGUAGUUAUCUUAAUUUUGGUAUUAAAAAGUUUAGAGGAGGGGUUAGCAUCCCAAGGAAAAGUUUAUGGAUUUAAAAACUUACAAAUCUAUUUAUAUAUAUUUACCUUUUUCUAAAGAAACUUAUUAAAUCUAUGAAGAAUUAGUCUAAUAGUAAUAAGUGAGAUAUAAAAUAAAUUUUUAUUUUUUUAUAUUUUAAAUGAGACAUUUAGAUAGUAGAUUUUUUUUUUCAAAAUAAGUAUUAUCAUAAGUUAUUUUAUAUUAAUAAAGAAAAACUAAUAAAUAUACAAAAGAAAGUGAUAAUUUUAAAAAAUUAACUUAUUAUGUAUAUUAGAUUGAAAAAUUAAAGUAAUAUUUAUUAGAGGUAUUAAUAAAAAUAAUAAUUAAUAUUAUAUUAAAAAUACUUAUUUUUUGAAUAAUUUUUUCUCAAAUGUGAAACUUAUUUUUGGACAGUAACUUUUUUUUAUCAACAAGUAUGAUCUUUAUUAUUUUAUAAAUUUUAAUAAUUUUUUUAUUGAUAGACUUAAAACUUGAAGUUUAAUUAUUUUAUUCUUAAAACAACUGUGAUUAUGUGUCAAAUAUGAGAUCCUAUUUUAUUUCAUUCAUCAAUCCAUCCUAUUUUAAUUGAGACUUAAUUAUUGUUUGUUUUAUAAUAUCAGUUUAUGCUUUCUAUUUUGGUAGAUACUAUUCUUCUUAUUUACAAAUUUUUUUACUCUAAAUUAUGUACAUUAUUCUUUAUUUACACAAUAAUUAUCAAUAUUUGUUAACUAAUUUUUUUCUGUUAAAAAAACUAAGUUUUUUAGUUAUAUUUUUCAACAUCAAAAGUUGAGACCCAUGAAACACGGAUCACUUUACUAAUAUUUAUAAAAGUAUAUUUUAUUUUAUUCCAUAUCUAUAUAAUACAAUAAAAGAAUGUCUCACCUUGUCGAUCACGUGGCAAUGUAAUAGACAAAAUUUUUGGCGAUCAAAUAAAUUAAUGACCUCUCUACCUAGAACAAUCAACUUACGUUCCAUUGCACUUUUACAUUUUAUCUUGUGUUUUUUAGUUUUUUAUUUUUAUCAUUUUUAUAUUGACAAAGUGCAUUCUACUUUUUAUUAGUGUCUUGUGUCUUUUCUAACGUGCAAUCAAUUUUUUUUUUAUUAUUGUAUUAUAUUUUAUAGUUUAUAUAAACAUUUCACCCGUGUACAAUUUAUAUAAGCAUAUAUAUAUAUAUAUAUAUAUAUAUAUAAUAAACAUUAUCUUUGUCUAUAUCAUAUUUUAACUUUCUAUAUAAUAAAAAUGUCUAAUUAAUUAUCAUGUGGCACUGUUAUAGACAAAAUUGUUGUGAUUAAAUAAUAUAAUGAUUGUCUCUUCGUAGUAGACCAACAUUUAGUAUAUAUCAUAUCUUACUUUUGCUUUUUAUAGAGUUUUACAUUGCACUUUAGUGAUUAGUUACUUAAUUAUUUUUAUCAUUCUUAUACUGACAUCGUGAACGGGUGUGGAUAAAGAAGCUAGUUCAUGACAGGAGGAUUCGCUUUGAUACAUGGAAUAUAGACACACUUACUGGAAAAUCUAUGGAAAUAGUGGAUGUUAUGGUGAGGAGGAAGAUCAAUUUUAUGUGCCUACAAGAAACUAAGUGGACAGGUGAAAAAGCGAAAGAAUUAGAUAACUCGGGAUUUAAGCUGUGGUAUACGGGAAAAAUCAGAUCAAGAAAUGGGGUAGGGAUUAUUGUGGACAAGGAGUGGAAGAAGAAUGUCGUGGAUGUAAGAAGAGUAGGAGAUCGUAUCAUAGCCUUAAAAUUGGUAGUGGGACAGGACACCUUUAAUGUUAUUAGUGGGUACACACCUCAGGUUGGGUUAGCAGAACACUUUAAGGUAAAAUUUUGGGAGGAUCUAGAAGGGGUACUUCAGGAUAUACCCCAAGGAGAGAAAGUUUUCCUAGGAGGGGAUCUCAAUGGACAUGUAGGAAGCGUGGCUAGAGGUUUUGAGGGGGUGCAUGGGGGUUUUGGCCUAGGGGAGAUGAAUGGGGAGGGUAAAUCCAUCUUGGAGUUUUCGGAGGCUUUGGAUCUUUCUAUAGCCAAUACAUGGUUUAAGAAAAGAGAGGAACAUCUUAUCACUUACAAAAGUGGAGGAACAUGUUCUCAGAUAGAUUUCUUCCUUAUCAGGAAGUCUGAUAGGAAGUAUUGCUUGAACUGUAAAGUUAUCCCGGGAGAGAGCUUGACUACCCAACAUAGAGUUUUGGUUAUGGAUGUAAGAAUUAGAGAUAGGGCAAAGAGAAGAAGUCCUAUGGUAGCACCAAGGAUCAAAUGGUGGCACUUAAAGGGUGAGAAACAAGGAAUCUUCCAACAAAAGAUAUGGGAGGGAUGGUGUGGAUAAUCACAAGGAAGUGCAAAUGAUAUGUGGAACAAGAUGUCCCAAGAGAUUAUUAAAGUGGCUAAAGAGACGUUGGGUGAAUCUAGAGGUUUUGGACCUAGGGGUAAAGAAUCGUGGUGGUGGAAUGAAAAUGUUCAGAGCAAAGUUAGAGUAAAAAAGGAGUGUUUCAAGGAGUGGUCUAGGUGUAGAAAUUCUGAAACUUGGGAUAAGUAUAAGAUAGCUAGAAAUGAAACCAAAAAGGCGGUGAGUGAGGCAAGAGCCCAAGCUUUUGACGGACUAUACCAAGCUCUAGGAACCAGGGACGGAGAAAGAUCUAUAUAUAGGCUUGCUAAGGGUAGAGAGAGGAAGACUAGAGAUUUGGAUCAAGUAAAGUGUGUUAAGGAUGAAGAAGGCAAAGUCUUAGUGCAUGAAAAAGAUAUCAAGGAAAGGUGGAAGGAGUAUUUCCACAACUUAUUUAAUGAUGGAUAUGGAUAUGACUCUAGCAGUCUAGACACAAGAGAAGAGGACCGGAACUAUAAGUACUAUCGUCGGAUUCAGAAACAGGAAGUAAAGGAAGCGUUGAAAAGAAUGAGUAACGGUAAGGCGGUGGGGCCAGACAACAUACCUAUUGAAGUGUGGAAAACUCUUAGAGAUAGAGGUCUUGAGUGGCUCACCGCACUCUUUAACGAAAUUAUGAGGUCAAAACGCAUGCCGGAGGAAUGGAGGAGAAGCACGUUAGUGCCAAUCUAUAAGAACAAGGGGGAUAUACAAAAUUGUGCAAAUUAUAGGGGAAUCAAGCUCAUGAGUCAUACCAUGAAAUUAUGGGAAAGAGUGAUCGAACGGAGAUUAAGAAAGGAGACUCAAGUUACUGAGAAUCAAUUUGGUUUCAUGCCGGGAAGGUCGACCAUGGAAGCGAUUUAUUUAUUACGGCGGGUGAUGGAGCAAUAUCGCAUGGCCCAACAAGACUUGCACUUGAUUUUUAUUGACUUGGAGAAAGCGUAUGAUAGAGUGCCUAGAGAGAUUUUGUGGAAAGCUCUAGAGAAGAAAGGGGUUAGGGUUGCAUAUAUUCGAGCUAUCCAAGAUAUGUAUGAUAGGGUAUCGACUAGUGUUAGGACACAGGGUGGAGAGUCAGACGAUUUUCCCAUCACAAUUGGUUUGCAUCAAGGGUCAACCCUUAGCCCCUACCUUUUUACCUUAAUUUUGGAUGUCCUCACGGAACAAAUCCAAGAGAUAGCACCGAGAUGCAUGCUUUUUGCAGAUGACAUAGUCCUCCUUGGAGAGUCGAGGGAGGAGUUGAAUGAGAGGUUGGAAACUUGGAGACGAGCUCUAGAAACACAUGGCUUUCGCCUAAGCAGAAGCAAAUCGGAGUAUAUGGAAUGUAAGUUCAAUAAAAGAAGGAGGGUUUCUAACUCAGAGGUGAAAAUAGGAGACCAUAUUAUCCCUCAAGUCACACGGUUUAAAUAUCUUGGGUCUGUAAUACAGGAUGAUGGGGAAAUUGAAGGGGAUGUGAAUCAUCGCAUUCAAGCAGGAUGGAUGAAAUGGAGAAAAACAUCGGGGGUGUUAUGUGAUGCAAAGGUACCGAUCAAGCUAAAGGGAAAGUUUUAUCGGACUGCGGUAAGACCGGCGAUUUUGUACGGAACAGAAUGUUGGGCGGUCAAGAGCCAACAUGAGAAUAAAGUAGGUGUAGCGGAGAUGAGGAUGUUGCGGUGGAUGUGUGGUAAGACUCGACAGGAUAAAAUUAGAAACGAAGCUAUUAGAGAGAGGGUUGGAGUAGCGCCUAUUGUAGAGAAGAUGGUGGAACAUAGACUUAGGUGGUUUGUGCAUGUAGAGAGAAGACCGGUAGACUCUGUAGUGAGGAGAGUAGACCAGAUGGAGAGAAGACAAACAAUUCGAGGCAGAGGAAGACCCAAAAAGACUAUAAGAGAGGUUAUCAAAAAGGAUCUCGAACUUAAUGAUUUGGAUAGAAGUAUGGUACUUGAUAGAACAUUAUGGCGGAAGUUGAUCCAUGUAGCCGACCCCACCUAGUGGGAUAAGGCGUUGUUGUUGUUGUUGUAUACUGACAUUGUGUAUUCUAAUUUUUAUUAGUAUCUUGUCUUCUGUCUUUGGUAUCGUGCAAACAAUUUUAUAUUUGUAAAAAUAUAUAUUCUAUAAUUUCUAUAAGCAUAUAUAAUAAUAAAAACAUUAUAUUUGUCUACAUGGUACAUUUGUUUUUUAUAAAAAUGUAUAAUAAAUUGACACGCUCAAUAUUACAUAAAAAUAGGUUAUGGUUUACAUUAUUUGAAUCAUAAAUUUAUACAAAUACUCAAUAAAAUUAAUUAUAAUUUAAUUAAUUAAAUUGUUUUUAUUGUGAAAUUGUAUAGAGUCAUUCUACUGCACCAUUAGAAAAUUUUAAAUUAGUGACGGAACUUAGUGAUGAACUAUAUUCCCUCGUAUUAAUUUUUUUUAAUAAUUUCAUACUUAUUUUUUCAAUUAAUAUCUAAAUGAUGAGGUUGAAAUUUUUAUGUUAAUAGUCAAUUUGAAUUUAAUUAGUUAAUAUAUUUACUAUAAAACAAUAUUUGGAAUCUAUAUUUAAUAAAUUCAUAUAAAAAAAUUGUGAUUAACAUUUAUAUGAGAUAAUAAGAAUUAUGAAAUUUUUUACAUAAAUAUGUGAUAAAUAUAGGUUAAAAUUAUCUUUUGGUUCUUUAUCUUUUUUAUUUGUUAUAUUUGGUCUCUCAUCUUUCAAAAAAAUCGUUUUUAGUCAUUAUGUUUUUAAAAUGGUUCGUUUUAGUAUUUUUUGUCAUAGACGUUACCUUCAACGUUUAAAAAAAUCAUGUUGGAAUUUUUCUUGCGGUUUAGAGUCACCAAUAAUUAUUUUUAGCUUUUAGCCAUUAAGUUUAAUUAAAUAAUUUUUUGGUGAUUUUAAACCGCGUAAAAUUGUCCUUUUUUUUCUAUAUUCUUUUCUCCAUCUUUUACUUAGAUUCAACAAAAAAAAAUCUUCAAACCAAAAGUACCAAUCACAUCCAGGAUCCAAAAUAAAAUUGGGUGGUGUCAAAACAGUGGAAAACUAGCCAAAUUCAGGAUUGAGGUUUGAAGAUUCAGAAGAUAGAAGCCACAUGAAUAGAUAGUGUAAUUGAUAGGGUUAGGGUUACACAAGUAGAAAAAGCAAAACAAAUAUGUCACUUUUCAAUUCUUAAACUUCAUUUUCAACCAUCAUCGAUUAGUAUACUAAUGAAAUCCAAGUUAAUUAAUUAAUGUUGUUAGGAAAUUGACAGUAAAUUAAGUAUUCUAUGGGCUACAAGGCUAUAUAAAAAUACUUCCUACAAUUGAAAAAAAAUUGAAACCUCAUUGUGCCACAUAGCAAAGAUUUUCUAUUUUAUUUCCUCUAGAAACCAUGCAUAUCAUAUACAAGCACACAUACUCUUCAAAGCCCAUAUUCAAAGGAUUUCAAUGAAGUUGAUUGUUGACCCCAAUGUUCUUCAACCAAACAUUACCUUCGAUGAGUCGUGUUACUGUAAACUUGUUAGCUAGCCUCUGCUGUAGUUGUGAUGAUAUGGUACCCAGGCCAAUUCACUCUCUUGUUGGUGCCAGCACUUGGUCCGUUAUUCAUCUAUUCUCCAUAAUACAAUGUUUGCAAGAAAUCCUAAGUCACAUGAGAUUCUAUAGACUAACUCGUGGACUCAACUUGUAGACUUCUAAAAGUCCAUUUCAUAUAAAAAUAAAAAAAUAUUUAUAAAUAACAUACUAAUCAAACAUUUCAACAAUAUAAUAAAAUAAAGUAAUAAAUUAUAAAUUUCAGGAUACUUACAUAACUAAAUUCAGUAAUACAUCAAUAUAUAAUAAUUUGCAAAUGUUACACUAGUGGUAAAUCAUUUCUAUCGAGGAUUUGAUGUUAUUAAAGAACAAGAGUUUGAUGUUAUUAAAAAUGAGAAUUUUUUUAUUCAAAAACAACAUACUAAAUUUACAGACAAAAAAUAACCCAAAAUAACUUUCAUUUUGGUCUAAUUUUUUUUAACUUGUUAAUUCGUUGACUCAAUAAUAAACUCAAAAAUAUACCAAAUUUACUUAGAAUUUAUAAAGUUUAUACCCAAAAUUUAUUAAAAACAAAAUUUACACAUAAGUCAACUCGUAUGAGAAUAAAUGAAAUUGUAAACUUGUAAAAAUUAACGAGUUAACUCGAGCUCUUGACGUCGCAUCCUACACAUCCAGUUGGGUCAAUAUGGUUGCCUAGCGACACUCCAUCACAACGGUUCUACAGAACAUCUUCCAUGGGCGGCCCAGAAAAGUUUUGAUGGAGCCAAUGACAGGCUUAAGAUCCGAGCUUGGUGUUAGGUUACAUUAAUUGUUGAAUUGAGGUUCCUGUGUUUUGGUUUGGAUCUUCUCAUCCUUGUGUCGUGGCCAUGUUGUUUUGGUUACUCAAGGUUUUCCUAGCUACCAAGUUGCACUUUUGGAACACAACAACUGCAUUUCCAAAUAUGAAGUGAACUGUACGUGCCAGUGAUAAAGGAAUCUUGGUAGAACUGCCUGUUAG
rnacentral:lncRNA from 1 species